rnacentral:lncRNA from 1 species
UAAACUGCUCUUUUAUAUUUUUUGCAGCAACAAUCUCCUAGUCAUCACCAAUCAAAGUAAAGAAAAGGUAUAACAUAGCUCUUUGUCGUGGCAAUUAAUAAUGCUUAUUCUAUUGACUUGCUAUUUUCUCUGACGAACAAUGAUCAGAUCUGUGAUCAUUGCUAUUCAGUUGUCCUUAGAGCUUUUGAAUCUAUUUAGAUUAGAAUGACAUUCUGCUGAAGAAGUAACUGUUAAUAGAUUUUAGUAAAAAUACGCUAUUCUAAUUAUUUGAAACACUGAAUCAAACAUAGGCAUAGUAAUGUUAACCACACCAGUAGCUGCUUCUGUAUAGUUCAUCUGGAUUCUCAUCCAAGUUUUGAGAAACAUAGAAUAUAGAAUUUCUGUCCAAUUCAUUCUAGCACAGUUUAACACAUUCUUCUAUUUAUGUUUGUAGAAACCUGGAGGAGCUGAGUUGCUGUCAAGAUCACUUGUAGGAAAUAAACAUGAGGAAUAAAACACAAACUCUGAGUGAACUUUGGUCUGUGUAUAGAUUCUGCUUCAUGUUUAAUUGUAGUCUUCAAGGGCAAUGGAUGAGACCAUGUUGCUUGAUAUAUUUGUUAUGAUGUGAUCCUUUCCAGUUAUCUUUCAUGAUCACUUGUAGGUUUGCUGUGGAUUGUUGAAUUUAGUG